rnacentral:rRNA from 1 species
AUGGCCGUCGAGAAGAUGCACUUGUCCAUGCCGUUGCCCGCCGGCUUGGAGGGUUUCCCCUUCACCACGUUCCAGGCGGAGCUGGAGGCCUUCACCGUCAAGUUGAGGGCGGAGGCGAAGAAGGCCAAGGCCAAGCCGGAGGUCAAGGAGGCCAAGGCCAAGGAGGAGAAGGCCAAGCCGGAGGUCAAGGCCAAGGUGAAGAAGGCCAAGGCGAAGGAGGCCAAGCCGGAGGUCGAGGCCAAGGCAAAGGAGGCCAAGGCAAAGGAGGCCAAGGCGAAGGAGGCCAAGCCGGAGGUCGAGGCCAAGUCAAAGGAGGUCAAGGCCAAGCCACAGACGGACCAAGUGGAUUACUCGGAUGGGGAUGUGUCGGACGGCUACCACUCGCAGGACGACAACAUCGGCAGCGACGGCAGGGUCAUGUCGCGGUAUGAGCGCCAUGUUCAGGCCAACAACGCUCGCUGUCCUUUCUUGGUGGGGGCCUAA